rnacentral:rRNA from 14 species
GAGGUGUUGGGUUAAGUCCCGCAACGAGCGCAACCCUCGCCUUCAGUUGCCAGCAUUUAGUUGGGCACUCUGGAGGGACUGCCGGUGACAAGCCGGAGGAAGGUGGGGAUGACGUCAAGUCCUCAUGGCCUUUAUGUCCAGGGCUGCAAACGUGCUACAAUGGUACGGACAGAGCGAGGCGAUCCCGCGAGGGGGAGCAAAUCGCAAAAACCGUGCCCCAGUUCGGAUAGCAGGCUGCAAUUCGCCUGCUUGAAGUUGGAAUCGCUAGUAAUCGCGGAUCAGCUACGCCGCGGUGAAUGUGUUCCUGAGCCUUGUACACACCGCCCGUCACGUCAUGGAAGCCGGGAGUGCCCGAAGUCACCUUGAUUCAAGGGUGCCUACGGCAAGCUCGGUGACUGGGACGAAGUCGUAACAAGGUAGCCGUAGGAGAACCUGCGGCUGGAUCACCUCCUU